UGACUUAUCUCUUUAUUGAAGCAGGUCGAAGGAUUUCUUUGCUCCGGCAAGAUUCGCAAUUCUGAAAUCCAAAGCUAUUUUCAACUUCAAGCGUAGACUAACGUUAGAUCUACUUCAAGGGAGCUUUUCAUCGGUCGUAAGAGCUCUGAUGUUUGGCGAGCCAUUGAAGAAGAAAAAGAGUAAAGGCAAGAACAAGAAAGGCAAGAACCAAGAGAGAGAACAAAGAGCCAUACAGAAGCUGGAGCCAAUGACAGAUGUACAUGGUCAUUCCAAUGGACCUUUUCUGAUCAGUGCUCCUCUAUCUACCAUUAUCAACUGGGCUCCAGACUUCUACAUCGUCACAUACACUGGAGACAAGGACGGAAGAGCUAUUAUCAGGUAAGAAUUGUCUGCUCUCUGUGUCUCUUUCUGUCCAUCUGUCUGUCCUUUCGUCUGUCAUCUCUCUUGCUUUGUCUAUAUUCUUUCAGUUCUCUACUAAGUACAUCCUGGGAACUUUGCUGAUAACCAAAUCAGUAGCAAGGAUUUCAGUAGCUUAUAACAAAAACUGUCAUUUGACACUGAUGACAAGUUAUGUGAAACAGGUCCCUGAA